GCACAAAGAUGGCGGCGCCCGACUGGAAGGGCCUCUUGCCCCUCACAGCGAUGGCGGCGUUCUCAUUCCGGCUUGGUGCCUGGCUCGAGUACGUCUGCGUGGUUUGCGGUGAGCGAGGCGAGGAGUCCCCCAUGGAACACCCGGAGCUGCAGGAGAACUGGGCCACCAUGAACGGACCCGGGGAGCCGACGCGCCCUUGCGCCCCUUGAGAGAAACGCCCGACCCCGAAGAGGCAACGAGGUCGAUGCCAGGACGCUGCUGGUGUUUCUGCUCUGCCAGGGGACUCUGAAUGGAUUUGCCAUGGUGACAUGAAAAAGACAGGGGGGAUACCCGACUGCCGGCUGGGAGAUCCUACACACGCACACGCAGCCUGCUAGUAUUUUAAUUUAUUACUGUGCUUUCCUGUGAAGGGGGUUGAG
rnacentral:lncRNA from 1 species